AUAGCGGACACUAAAGGCCGACUGGCCUCUACCGGCGGGAUUUGAUGGCGUGAUGUCUCACAGAAAGUUCUCCGCUCCCAGACAUGGGUCCCUCGGCUUCCUGCCUCGGAAGCGCAGCAGCAGGCAUCGUGGGAAGGUGAAGAGCUUCCCUAAGGAUGACCCGUCCAAGCCGGUCCACCUCACAGCCUUCCUGGGAUACAAGGCUGGCAUGACUCACAUCGUGCGAGAAGUCGACAGGCCAGGAUCCAAGGUGAACAAGAAGGAGGUGGUGGAGGCUGUGACCAUUGUAGAGACACCACCCAUGGUGGUUGUGGGCAUUGUGGGCUACGUGGAAACCCCUCGAGGCCUCCGGACCUUCAAGACUGUCUUCGCUGAGCACAUCAGUGAUGAAUGCAAGAGGCGUUUCUAUAAGAAUUGGUAAGGGAGGAGGCCAUGCAGUCCCUAGCUUGGGAGCUGGAGAGCAGGGAGCAGCACGUGCGUGGUUUCUCAGCUCUGUAGCAGGCAGGGAGCUGCUGUCUUGGGUUUAGUUUGCCUCUUGAACAGAAAAAUACCUGGGAUCAGACUUAGCCAGCCAUCUGGUUUCAGCCGGAAGCUAACACCCUCGUUCUGAGUCCAGGCUAGUGGGUGGUGGCUGAGGACCAGUUGGUUGAAGAGUCCAACUAGAAACCAGGAGAGGUAGCAGAAUAAUUCAACCCCUAUAGGGGUGGCAAGGGCCUCUGGCCCUGGGUGGAAUGUCCCAUUUCCUCUAUCACUGAGUGGGUGCUUCCCCAAGGCAGAAAGGUUGCUUUCUCCCGGAGCAAGAAUUUUGUUUGAAUGCGUGUAAC
rnacentral:sRNA from 1 species